UACGAAGGGGGCUAGCGUUGCUCGGAAUCACUGGGCGUAAAGCGCACGUAGGCGGCUUUCUAAGUCAGGGGUGAAAUCCUGGAGCUCAACUCCAGAACUGCCCUUGAUACUGGAGAGCUUGAGUUCGGGAGAGGUGAGUGGAACUGCGAGUGUAGAGGUGAAAUUCGUAGAUAUCGCAAGAACACCAGUGGCGAAGGCGGCUCACUGGCCCGAUACUGACGCUGAGGUGCGAAAGCGUGGGGAGCAAACAGG
rnacentral:rRNA from 1 species